UAAUACGUAGGGUGCAAGCGUUGUCCGGAAUUAUUGGGCGUAAAGAGCUCGUAGGCGGCUUGUCGCGUCGGCUGUGAAAACCCGGGGCUCAACCCCGGGCCUGCAGUCGAUACGGGCAGGCUGGAGUCCGGCAGGGGAGACUGGAAUUCCUGGUGUAGCGGUGAAAUGCGCAGAUAUCAGGAGGAACACCGGUGGCGAAGGCGGGUCUCUGGGCCGGAACUGACGCUAAGGAGCGAAAGCGUGGGGAGCGAACAG
rnacentral:rRNA from 1 species